AUUGGGCGUAAAGAGCUCGUAGGCGGUUUGUUGCGUCGGCUGUGAAAACCUGAGGCUCAACCUCAGGCCUGCAGUCGAUACGAGCAGACUAGAGUGUUGCAGGGGAGACUGGAAUUCCUGGUGUAGCGGUGAAAUGCGCAGAUAUCAGGAGGAACACCGGUGGCGAAGGCGGGUCUCUGGGCAACAACUGACGCUGAGGAGCGAAAGCGUGGGGAGCGAACAGGAUUAGAUACCCUGGUAGUCCACGCCGUAAACGUUGGGCGCUAGGUGUGGGGCUCAUUCCACGAGUUCCGUGCCGCAGCUAACGCAUUAAGCGCCCCGCCUGGGGAGUACGGCCGCAGGGCUAAAACUCAAAGGAAUUGACGGGGGCCCGCACAAGCGGCGGAGCAUGUUGCUUAAUUCGAUGCAACGCGAAGAACCUUACCUAGGCUUGACAUGCACGGAAAUCCUCCAGAGAUGGUGGGUCCGUAAGGGCCGUGCACAGGUGGUGCAUGGUUGUCGUCAGCUCGUGUCGUGAGAUGUUGGGUUAAGUCCCGCAACGAGCGCAACCCUCGUUCUAUGUUGCCAGCACGUCAUGGUGGGGACUCAUAGGAGACUGCCGGGGUCAACUCGGAGGAAGGUGGGGAUGACGUCAAAUCAUCAUGCCCCUUAUGUCUAGGGCUGCAAACAUGCUACAAUGGCCGGUACAAAGGGCUGCGAUACCGCGAGGUGGAGCGAAUCCCAAAAAGCCGGUCUCAGUUCGGAUUGGGGUCUGCAACUCGACCCCAUGAAGUUGGAGUCGCU
rnacentral:rRNA from 1 species